rnacentral:rRNA from 1 species
UAAGCGGAGGAAAAGAAACUAACAAGGAUUCCCCUAGUAACUGCGAGUGAAGCGGGAAAAGCUCAAAUUUAAAAUCUGGCGGUCUUUGGCCGUCCGAGUUGUAAUUUAGAGAAGCGUCUUCCGCGCUGGACCGUGCACAAGUCUCCUGGAAUGGAGCGUCAUAGAGGGUGAGAAUCCCGUCUUUGGCACGGAUGCCUGGUGCUUCUGUGAUGCGCUCUCGAAGAGUCGAGUUGUUUGGGAAUGCAGCUCAAAAUGGGUGGUGAACUCCAUCUAAAGCUAAAUAUUGGCGAGAGACCGAUAGCGAACAAGUACCGUGAGGGAAAGAUGAAAAGCACUUUGGAAAGAGAGUGAAACAGUACGUGAAAUUGUUGAAAGGGAAACGCUUGAAGUCAGUCGCGUCGACCGAGACUCAGCCUUGCCUCGGCAUGGUGUACUUCUCGGCCCGACGGGUCAGCAUCAAUUUUGCCCCUCGGAUAAUGGCAGAGGAAAGGUGGCACCUUUACGGGUGUGUUAUAGUCUCCUGUCGCAUGCGAGGGGUGGGAUUGAGGAACUCAGCGCGCACCUCAGUGUCGGGGCUUCGGCCCACGUCACGCGCUUAGGAUGCUGGCGUANUGNCUUUAAACGANC